rnacentral:rRNA from 1 species
AGUCGAGCGAGCACUUUUGCGGAUUUCUUCGGAUUGAAGCAAUUGUGACUGAGCGGCGGACGGGUGAGUAACGCGUGGGUAACCUGCCUCAUACAGGGGGAUAACAGUUGGAAACGGCUGCUAAUACCGCAUAAGCGCACAGUACCGCAUGGUACCGUGUGAAAAACUCCGGUGGUAUGAGAUGGACCCGCGUCUGAUUAGGUAGUUGGUGGGGUAACGGCCUACCAAGCCGACGAUCAGUAGCCGACCUGAGAGGGUGACCGGCCACAUUGGGACUGAGACACGGCCCAAACUCCUACGGGAGGCAGCAGUGGGGAAUAUUGCACAAUGGGGGAAACCCUGAUGCAGCGACGCCGCGUGAGCGAUGAAGUAUUUCGGUAUGUAAAGCUCUAUCAGCAGGGAAGAAAAUGACGGUACCUGACUAAGAAGCCCCGGCUAACUACGUGCCAGCAGCCGCGGUAAUACGUAGGGGGCAAGCGUUAUCCGGAUUUACUGGGUGUAAAGGGAGCGUAGACGGCAUGGCAAGCCAGAUGUGAAAGCCCGGGGCUCAACCCCGGGACUGCAUUUGGAACUGUCAGGCUAGAGUGUCGGAGAGGAAAGCGGAAUUCCUAGUGUAGCGGUGAAAUGCGUAGAUAUUAGGAGGAACACCAGUGGCGAAGGCGGCUUUCUGGACGAUGACUGACGUUGAGGCUCGAAAGCGUGGGGAGCAAACAGGAUUAGAUACCCUGGUAGUCCACGCCGUANACGAUGAAUACUAGGNGUCGGGUGGCAAAGCCAUUCGGUGCCGCAGCAAACGCAAUAAG